rnacentral:rRNA from 1 species
UACGUAGGUGGCAAGCGUUGUCCGGAAUUAUUGGGCGUAAAGCGCGCGCAGGCGGUCCUUUAAGUCUGAUGUGAAAGCCCACGGCUCAACCGUGGAGGGUCAUUGGAAACUGGGGGACUUGAGUACAGAAGAGAAGAGUGGAAUUCCACGUGUAGCGGUGAAAUGCGUAGAGAAUGUGGAGGAACACCAGUGGCGAAGGCGACUCUUUGGUCUGUAACUGACGCUGAGGCGCGAAAGCGUGGGGGAGCAAA